GUAGACAAAUUAAGAAUUAAAUUUCCUGUCCCCUCAAUGUUUCUUGUGCUGGUUCCUUCCUCCAUUUAGACUUCCGGUUUCCGGUUUCUGAGUGUUUGGUCUGCUUCUCCCAGUAGACAUACCAGUCAACUAGUGAGUUACCUAAGAGGAAUUUGGAAGCUGAGUAAGGAAAUGAAAGCGGUCCAGGUUUAUUUCAUUAUGAUCAGAUGCCCGAAAAUAAAUCUAGAUCAUCAUUAUGUGCCCACAAAGAGAACAACUUGGCACCGGCAGAGAGGUAUUUCAUUAUAAGUUGGAUGUGUUAUGGUAUUAGAUGUUUUGUUUCAUUAUGUUCUCAUUUAUUGACAGGCCAACGCGACCGCAGAGAAUGUGGAGUCCCUGCCAGUCCUUUGCUGACCUCCAGUACUGUUAGGAAAAAAAAGAAGAAAGAAAGAAAGAAAGAAAGAAAGAAAGAAAGAAAGGAAGAAAGGAAGGAAGGAAGGAAGGAAGGAAGGAAGGAAGGAAGGAAGGAAGGAAGGAAGAGCUGAACAGAGAAGAUGUCAACAUUUCACUUCCAUAACCAGCUUUUAUAGGAUGCUGGGGAGGAACAGUGCAUCUUCUUAUUCGCUGAAGCAUGUUACAAAGCCCAGACUCAGCCCUGAUUACAGCCUUUCACCUCCCAGUUAGAGCGGCCCCGCCCCCACCCAGCUUCUUCCCUACUGUAGGGGCCCAUCCUCAUUGAAAAGAGCUGCAUUGGAAGUGUGCUCUCAGUACUUCCUUAGUGGGCU
rnacentral:lncRNA from 1 species